rnacentral:tRNA from 1 species
GAGGCUAUGGUGUAAUGGCAGCACAAGACGCUGUGGCCGUCUUAGAACGGGUCCGAAUCCCGUUAGCCUCC